GGGUUGUGAGGUUAAGCGACUAAGCGUACACGGUGGAUGCCCUGGCAGUCAGAGGCGAUGAAGGACGUGCUAAUCUGCGAUAAGCGUCGGUAAGGUGAUAUGAACCGUUAUAACCGGCGAUUUCCGAAUGGGGAAACCCAGUGUGUUUCGACACACUAUCAUUAACUGAAUCCAUAGGUUAAUGAGGCGAACCGGGGGAACUGAAACAUCUAAGUACCCCGAGGAAAAGAAAUCAACCGAGAUUCCCCCAGUAGCGGCGAGCGAACGGGGAGCAGCCCAGAGCCUGAAUCAGUGUGUGUGUUAGUGGAAGCGUCUGGAAAGGCGCGCGAUACAGGGUGACAGCCCCGUACACAAAAAUGCACAUGCUGUGAGCUCGAUGAGUAGGGCGGGACACGUGGUAUCCUGUCUGAAUAUGGGGGGACCAUCCUCCAAGGCUAAAUACUCCUGACUGACCGAUAGUGAACCAGUACCGUGAGGGAAAGGCGAAAAGAACCCCGGCGAGGGGAGUGAAAAAGAACCUGAAACCGUGUACGUACAAGCAGUGGGAGCCUCUUUAUGGGGUGACUGCGUACCUUUUGUAUAAUGGGUCAGCGACUUAUAUUCUGUAGCAAGGUUAACCGAAUAGGGGAGCCGAAGGGAAACCGAGUCUUAACUGGGCGUUAAGUUGCAGGGUAUAGACCCGAAACCCGGUGAUCUAGCCAUGGGCAGGUUGAAGGUUGGGUAACACUAACUGGAGGACCGAACCGACUAAUGUUGAAAAAUUAGCGGAUGACUUGUGGCUGGGGGUGAAAGGCCAAUCAAACCGGGAGAUAGCUGGUUCUCCCCGAAAGCUAUUUAGGUAGCGCCUCGUGAAUUCAUCUCCGGGGGUAGAGCACUGUUUCGGCAAGGGGGUCAUCCCGACUUACCAACCCGAUGCAAACUGCGAAUACCGGAGAAUGUUAUCACGGGAGACACACGGCGGGUGCUAACGUCCGUCGUGAAGAGGGAAACAACCCAGACCGCCAGCUAAGGUCCCAAAGUCAUGGUUAAGUGGGAAACGAUGUGGGAAGGCCCAGACAGCCAGGAUGUUGGCUUAGAAGCAGCCAUCAUUUAAAGAAAGCGUAAUAGCUCACUGGUCGAGUCGGCCUGCGCGGAAGAUGUAACGGGGCUAAACCAUGCACCGAAGCUGCGGCAGCGACACUAUGUGUUGUUGGGUAGGGGAGCGUUCUGUAAGCCUGUGAAGGUGUGCUGUGAGGCAUGCUGGAGGUAUCAGAAGUGCGAAUGCUGACAUAAGUAACGAUAAAGCGGGUGAAAAGCCCGCUCGCCGGAAGACCAAGGGUUCCUGUCCAACGUUAAUCGGGGCAGGGUGAGUCGACCCCUAAGGCGAGGCCGAAAGGCGUAGUCGAUGGGAAACAGGUUAAUAUUCCUGUACUUGGUGUUACUGCGAAGGGGGGACGGAGAAGGCUAUGUUGGCCGGGCGACGGUUGUCCCGGUUUAAGCGUGUAGGCUGGUUUUCCAGGCAAAUCCGGAAAAUCAAGGCUGAGGCGUGAUGACGAGGCACUACGGUGCUGAAGCAACAAAUGCCCUGCUUCCAGGAAAAGCCUCUAAGCAUCAGGUAACAUCAAAUCGUACCCCAAACCGACACAGGUGGUCAGGUAGAGAAUACCAAGGCGCUUGAGAGAACUCGGGUGAAGGAACUAGGCAAAAUGGUGCCGUAACUUCGGGAGAAGGCACGCUGAUAUGUAGGUGAAGUCCCUCGCGGAUGGAGCUGAAAUCAGUCGAAGAUACCAGCUGGCUGCAACUGUUUAUUAAAAACACAGCACUGUGCAAACACGAAAGUGGACGUAUACGGUGUGACGCCUGCCCGGUGCCGGAAGGUUAAUUGAUGGGGUCAGCGCAAGCGAAGCUCUUGAUCGAAGCCCCGGUAAACGGCGGCCGUAACUAUAACGGUCCUAAGGUAGCGAAAUUCCUUGUCGGGUAAGUUCCGACCUGCACGAAUGGCGUAAUGAUGGCCAGGCUGUCUCCACCCGAGACUCAGUGAAAUUGAACUCGCUGUGAAGAUGCAGUGUACCCGCGGCAAGACGGAAAGACCCCGUGAACCUUUACUAUAGCUUGACACUGAACAUUGAGCCUUGAUGUGUAGGAUAGGUGGGAGGCUUUGAAGUGUGGACGCCAGUCUGCAUGGAGCCGACCUUGAAAUACCACCCUUUAAUGUUUGAUGUUCUAACGUGGACCCGUGAUCCGGGUUGCGGACAGUGUCUGGUGGGUAGUUUGACUGGGGCGGUCUCCUCCUAAAGAGUAACGGAGGAGCACGAAGGUUGGCUAAUCCUGGUCGGACAUCAGGAGGUUAGUGCAAUGGCAUAAGCCAGCUUGACUGCGAGCGUGACGGCGCGAGCAGGUGCGAAAGCAGGUCAUAGUGAUCCGGUGGUUCUGAAUGGAAGGGCCAUCGCUCAACGGAUAAAAGGUACUCCGGGGAUAACAGGCUGAUACCGCCCAAGAGUUCAUAUCGACGGCGGUGUUUGGCACCUCGAUGUCGGCUCAUCACAUCCUGGGGCUGAAGUAGGUCCCAAGGGUAUGGCUGUUCGCCAUUUAAAGUGGUACGCGAGCUGGGUUUAGAACGUCGUGAGACAGUUCGGUCCCUAUCUGCCGUGGGCGCUGGAGAACUGAGGGGGGCUGCUCCUAGUACGAGAGGACCGGAGUGGACGCAUCACUGGUGUUCGGGUUGUCAUGCCAAUGGCACUGCCCGGUAGCUAAAUGCGGAAGAGAUAAGUGCUGAAAGCAUCUAAGCACGAAACUUGCCCCGAGAUGAGUUCUCCCUGACCCUUUAAGGGUCCUGAAGGAACGUUGAAGACGACGACGUUGAUAGGCCGGGUGUGUAAGCGCAGCGAUGCGUUGAGCUAACCGGUACUAAUGAACCGUGAGGCUUAACCUUACAACGCCGAAGCUGUU
rnacentral:rRNA from 1 species